rnacentral:rRNA from 1 species
GAUUAAGUUAUUAAGGGCGCACGGUGGAUGCCUUGGCACUAGAAGCCGAUGAAGGACGUUACUAACGACGACAUGCUUUGGGGAGCUGUAAGUAAGCUUUGAUCCAGAGAUUUCCGAAUGGGGAAACCCAGCAUGAGUUAUGUCAUGUUAUCGAUAUGUGAAUACAUAGCAUAUCAGAAGGCACACCCGGAGAACUGAAACAUCUUAGUACCCGGAGGAAGAGAAAGAAAAUUCGAUUCCCUUAGUAGCGGCGAGCGAAACGGGAAGAGCCCAAACCAACAAGCUUGCUUGUUGGGGUUGUAGGACACUCUAUACGGAGUUACAAAGGACGACAUUAGACGAAUCAUCUGGAAAGAUGAAUCAAAGAAGGUAAUAAUCCUGUAGUCGAAAAUGUUGUCUCUCUUGAGUGGAUCCUGAGUACGACGGAGCACGUGAAAUUCCGUCGGAAUCUGGGAGGACCAUCUCCUAAGGCUAAAUACUCUCUAGUGACCGAUAGUGAACCAGUACCGUGAGGGAAAGGUGAAAAGCACCCCGGAAGGGGAGUGAAAUAGAACCUGAAACCGUGUGCUUACAAGUAGUCAGAGCCCGUUAAUGGGUGAUGGCGUGCCUUUUGUAGAAUGAACCGGCGAGUUACGAUUUGAUGCAAGGUUAAGCAGUAAAUGUGGAGCCGUAGCGAAAGCGAGUCUGAAUAGGGCGUUUAGUAUUUGGUCGUAGACCCGAAACCAGGUGAUCUACCCUUGGUCAGGUUGAAGUUCAGGUAACACUGAAUGGAGGACCGAACCGACUUACGUUGAAAAGUGAGCGGAUGAACUGAGGGUAGCGGAGAAAUUCCAAUCGAACCUGGAGAUAGCUGGUUCUCUCCGAAAUAGCUUUAGGGCUAGCCUCAAGUGAUGAUUAUUGGAGGUAGAGCACUGUUUGGACGAGGGGCCCCUCUCGGGUUACCGAAUUCAGACAAACUCCGAAUGCCAAUUAAUUUAACUUGGGAGUCAGAACAUGGGUGAUAAGGUCCGUGUUCGAAAGGGAAACAGCCCAGACCACCAGCUAAGGU